GGAAGGAUCAUUACUAAUGUUUACUCAUUCUUAAUAAACCAACCUUAUGUGAACUUAUUUGACGUUGGCUGGGACCUGCGUGCAGUUAGCCGACUUUGGUCCAUUUACUUGGGCUGAAUAGGCGCCGCCUGUAGGGACCAGUUGACACCCAUAAACAUAUUCAACACUUAUGCCUUGAUAUCCGUCCGAGUGUCUGCGCAGUGAUGCCUAGUAAUCUUGGACAACUAAGGGUAAAAAACUUUUAGCAACGGAUCUCUUGGCUCUCGCAGCGAUGAAGAACGCAGCGAACCGCGAAAUGUAAUGUGAAUUGCAGAGUUCGUGAAUCAUCAAAUCUUUGAACGCAUAUUGCACUGCUUCGGCAGUAUGUCUGUUUGAGUAUCUGUUUCAUUUAUCGACGCUAGGCUACCGAGUCGCAGACUUGGUUAGCCCCGCCUUGCACUUGGACCUUUGAAAGCUAACGAGUGGGUCGUUAUGACUGACUCUGGUGCAUUCAUGGUCUUAAAAAUAGCCUCGGAUCAUCUUCAAGGGAGUUUACUCUCUGGAUGAACCACGAUAGUAGGUCGUCUUUGACGGCCUGCCGCGACACACCAUUACUGUAGAACAUUUUACAGUAAAACAAGUGUGUGUCUGCCCAGCAGAGUGGAGUGAAAGGGCGGUAUCUUCCGGGGUACUACCCUCCCUGACUCUCUCUCUAUUAUGAUCUCAAAUCAGACAAGACUACCCGCUGAACUUAAGCAUAUUAAUAAGCGGAGGAAAAGAAACCAACAGGGAUUCCCCCAGUAAUGGCGAAUGAAGCGGGAAUAGCUCAAAUUUGAAAUCUCCUUGGAGAAUUGUAGUUUGUAGAGGUGAUAUCGUCGCCUUGUCCUGGUCUAAGUCUCCUGGAAUGGAGCAACACGGAGGGUGAAAUUCCCGUUCCUGAUCAGAUCGCAAGGUGCACUUGAUUCACUCUUAAAGAGUCGGGUUGCUUGGGACUGCAGCCCAAAUUUGGUGGUAUAUUCCAUCUAAAGCUAAAUAUUGGCGAGAGACCGAUAGCAAACAAGUACCGUGAGGGAAAGAUGAAAAGAACUUUGAAAAGAGAGUUAAAAGUACGUGAAAUUGCUAAAAGGGAAACGUUUGGCGCCAGUGCUGUCGUAGGGAAAUCAGCCGGGCCUUUCACGAGGUCUGGUGCACUUUUUCUGCGACUAGUCAACAUCAGUUGCCCGGUGAUGUAGAAACGCUUGGGAAUGUAGCUGUCUUUUGCCAGUGUUAUAGCCCAGGUUGAUGCGUCAUUGGCGACUGAGGUCUGCUUAUACAGGAUGUUGACGAAAUGGCGUUAAACGACCCGUCUUGAAACACGGACCAAGGAGUCUAACAUGUAUGCGAGUACUAGGGUGUUAAACCCAGGUGCGUAAUGAAAGUAACUUGAUGGGAUCCCGUACGGGUGCACCAUCGACUGGACUUGAAGUUCGCGGAUAGUCCUAAGUUUGAGCAUAUAUGCUGGGACCCGAAAGAUGGUGAACUAUACCUGAAUAGGAUGAAGCCAGAGGAAACUCUGGUGGAAGUCCGUAGCGAUUCUGACGUGCAAAUCGAUCGUCAAAUUUGGGUAUAGGGGCGAAAGACUAAUCGAACCAUCUAAUGGCUGGUUCCCUC
rnacentral:misc_RNA from 1 species